AACGGCGAGUGAAGCGGUAACAGCUCAAAUUUGAAAUCUGGCUCCUUCGGAGUCCGAGUUGUAAUUUGUAGAAGAUGCUUUGGGUGGUAGGUUCGGUCUAAGUUCCCUGGAACAGGACGUCAUAGAGGGUGAGAAUCCCGUAUGCGGCCGUGACCUGCGCCCGUGUAAAGCUCUUUCGACGAGUCGAGUUGUUUGGGAAUGCAGCUCAAAAUGGGUGGUAAAUUUCAUCUAAAGCUAAAUAUGGGCCAGAGACCGAUAGCGCACAAGUAGAGUGAUCGAAAGAUGAAAAGCACUUUGGAAAGAGAGUUAAACAGUACGUGAAAUUGUUGAAAGGGAAGCGCUUGCAACCAGACUUGGGCGUCAUGGAUCACCCGAGGUUCUCCUCGGUGCACUCGAUGACGCGCAGGCCAGCAUCGGUUUGGAUGGCUGGAAAAAGGCCCUAGAAAUGUAGCUCCUCGCGGGGAGUGUUAUAGUCUAGGGCGUAAUGCAGCCCACCCGGACCGAGGACCGCGCUUCGGCUAGGAUGCUGGCGUAAUGGUUGUAAGCGACCCGUCUUGAAACACGGACCAAGGAGUCUAACAUCUAUGCGAGUGUUUGGGCGUUAAACCCAUACGCGGAAUGAAAGUGAACGUAGGUGAGAACCCGUAUGGGGGCAUCAUCGACCGAUCCUGAAGUCUUCGGACGGAUUUGAGUAAGAGCAUAGCUGUUGGGA
rnacentral:rRNA from 1 species